CUGGAACUCACCAUGUAGCCCAGGCUGGCCCUGGCAAUCCUUCUUCCUUCUGCCUCAGACCUGAGUGCUGGAAUUACAGGUGAGUGAAGAAGAUUCAGAUGCGGUGAAUAUCUGGAGAGGCACUGACCGAGUGUGGUGGUUGAGACUGCGCCUCAGCCUUCCUCAACUGGAAAUUCUCAGUACUCAGAGGACGAAUCUGAAUGUCUCUUUGAUGUAGCUGGAGCUGGAGCCCAG